rnacentral:rRNA from 1 species
UACGUAGGGUGCGAGCGUUAAUCGGAAUUACUGGGCGUAAAGCGUGCGUAGACGGUUAUGUAAGUCAGAUGUGAAAGCCCCGGGCUCAACCUCGGGUCUGCAGUCGAUACGAGCAAACUAGAGUGUUGCAGGGGAGACUGGAAUUCCUGGUGUAGCGGUGAAAUGCGCAGAUAUCGGGAGGAACACCGGUGGCGAAGGCGGAUCUCUGGGCCUGUCCUGACGCUCAGGCGCGAAAGCUAGGGGAGCGAACAGG